rnacentral:lncRNA from 1 species
AUCUCCAACCCUUAAUGCCACCCCUACCCCAUUUUUAAGGGUGGUUUAUGGCCAUCCUUGGAGUUUUAUAAUGAAAAGUUCUCUAAUAUUCCACAACAGGUGGUUGAAUCCUGCAAUAUUCUAGCAUGACAGGGUGAGCUAGAUACCUAAGAGGACUUGGCCAAAGCCAGACCGGGGCAGGCACGGCCGGCCUGUCUGCCUCACUCCAGCGUUGUCCCUGCCACUUCACUACGUUGAUUUAGGAGGCUCUGGGGCAUAAGACAGGCAAAAGGGCAGUUUUCCCUGUUGACCCUCUCUGGCAAAAUCAGGAAAUAAGUCUGCCGUCGACAUCAAAUUCCACUAGUUUGAGAGAGUUGGGUGAGGAAACUAUUGUGAAGAUAAGCUUCUCAGAGAUUAAGAACAGCCUGCAUUGAUAGAAGUCCUAGGCUCAGAGUCACUAUAGUGACAAGAAGCAGAGCCCUCCAGUUGGGUGGUUAUGUGCAUUAUGUUACAGGACCUGGGUUUGUCAUCUUUCUGUAGAUUCCUUUACAAAUGGACUGAGAAUUGACCCGCCCCUACCUCUUUAGAUAGUUGUUAGGCCACUUUUCUCUCGUGACUUUGGAAAACAAGAGAAGGAGGGGGAGUAGGUAUCAUACCACACUGUGUGUCACCAAAGUGGUUGUGGUUGCCUCAAGGCGGGUGGGCAGGCAGAGAUGGCCUGUCCAGCGCUUACACAUCAAUGGCCUUGGCAGGUCUGAGAGCUGCCCCACUGGCCAGACUUCUCUCCAGCAGCGGAGCCAGCCUGGGGCUUGCAUGUCAAACCUGAGCAGGCUUCACAGGAUGCAGCUGAGGCUUCCUCCCCACUGUGACUGGAGUGCAUGUUUACACCAGCACUUUUUCUGCACAUGUAUCUUCAAUCCAAGGCCGUUUUUUGUGCUGAGUAACAGAGGCCACCAAGCGGCUACUGCAUUACACCCUCUCGGCAGCUGGCCGCAGUCUCUUCUGCACCAUUUUCUACACACCUGCUUGGCACCACAGGGAGCUCUUUACCCCUGCACAAUGACAUUCCAGCCACCACCAGCCAGAAGUUACAGCCAACCUUGCUGACUGUCACAAGCAGGACCUUGGGUCCAUUGGCACUGUCAGUGAUAGUAAGCCAUUUCCCGGGAAGAGGAGGAAACUCCUCCCCACCAGUCUGCUUGGGCCUGUGCAAAUGGCACUUCAGAGGAGUCCCCAUGCACUGGGAGUCCAUGAGCCAAUGGGAUAUGCAAAGACAUUUCAGGGCUGGUUUCUCUGUUCAUAUCCAAUUCCGGUGCUUAGGAACAGGGACCCAUGCUGAUGCCCAAGGGCAAAAAGCCCCACUUCCUUUAAGGAAGGGGGCAGGCCUGACCCUGAUGCCCAGUAAGGGGCAACCCUAGGCUUUUUGUUUUUCUUGCUUAUAUUCCCGUUUUUGUUGGCCUUGUGCUGGGUUUGUUUACAAAAGAUGUAUUUUGUUUAACCAAAUAUUAAAAAUGGAAAA